GCCAGACUCCUACGGGAGGCAGCAGUGGGGAAUAUUGCACAAUGGGGGGAACCCUGAUGCAGCGACGCCGCGUGAGCGAAGAAGUAUUUCGGUAUGUAAAGCUCUAUCAGCAGGGAAGAAAAUGACGGUACCUGACUAAGAAGCCCCGGCUAACUACGUGCCAGCAGCCGCGGUAAUACGUAGGGGGCAAGCGUUAUCCGGAUUUACUGGGUGUAAAGGGAGCGCAGGCGGCGCGGUAAGUCUGAUGUGAAAGCCCGGGGCUCAACCCCGGGACUGCAUUGGAAACUGUCGUGCUGGAGUGUCGGAGGGGCAAGUGGAAUUCCUAGUGUAGCGGUGAAAUGCGUAGAUAUUAGGAGGAACACCAGUGGCGAAGGCGGCUUACUGGACUGUAACUGACGUUGAGGCUCGAAAGCGUGGGGAGCAAACAGGAUUAGAUACCCUUGUA
rnacentral:rRNA from 1 species